rnacentral:rRNA from 1 species
AUGAACGCUGGCGGCGUGCCUAAUACAUGCAAGUCGAGCGAACAGACGAGGAGCUUGCUCCUCUGACGUUAGCGGCGGACGGGUGAGUAACACGUGGAUAACCUACCUAUAAGACUGGGAUAACUUCGGGAAACCGGAGCUAAUACCGGAUAAUAUAUUGAACCGCAUGGUUCAAUAGUGAAAGACGGUUUUGCUGUCACUUAUAGAUGGAUCCGCGCCGCAUUAGCUAGUUGGUAAGGUAACGGCUUACCAAGGCAACGAUGCGUAGCCGACCUGAGAGGGUGAUCGGCCACACUGGAACUGAGACACGGUCCAGACUCCUACGGGAGGCAGCAGUAGGGAAUCUUCCGCAAUGGGCGAAAGCUUGACGGAGCGACGCCGCGUGAGUGAUGAAGGUCUUCGGAUCGUAAAACUCUGUUAUUAGGGAAGAACAAAUGUGUAAGUAACUAUGCACGUCUUGACGGUACCUAAUCAGAAAGCCACGGCUAACUACGUG